UGGCCCGUGGUGACCCAUGUACAUAUUAUGAGAUAAUUAUGGAGAAUUUAGUCCCACUUUGAUUGUUAAAGAGGGGUUAGACCAACGUAGAAGGCUUCUAUUUUUUUAGGCGAAGUGAGGAUGAAAUUGUAAGUCAGAUGGUGGUAGGUGUGGUUCGCUCAGCGUACACUAUAAGGUGUUACAUCCGCUGUCAAAAACUGUGACAGGUGUCAACCAUUUGGACUCUGAGGCAUUACAUCCUCUAUCAUAAAACUGUGACGGGUGUCUUCCAUGUCAACCGUCUCUCUAUUCUCUUAUAAUCUACCGACAAGGCCGAUGAGCAUUGGCCCUUCCUCUCCACCCCCAAGUGUACUAAUUUUAGAAAAUGGAAAAAUCCAGCAACUGCACACAGCUAAGUGUUACAAUAUUGUCUAUAAUAAAAAUAAAAUAAAAAAGAGUGAGUG
rnacentral:lncRNA from 1 species